GCUCCGUUGGUGAACCAGCGGAGGGAUCAUUACUGGAAUCGCAAGAUCCCACAACCCUGUGAACCUACCGAAACGUUGCCUCGGCGGGUGCCCGGCCCCCGCGCCGGGCGCUGCGCCCGCCGGCGGCCCCCUACUCUGUCUCUGCAGCGUGGCAUCUCAGAGUCCCAGAAAACAAGUCAAAACUUUCAACAACGGAUCUCUUGGCUCUA
rnacentral:misc_RNA from 1 species